AUUGAACGCUGGCGGCAGGCCUAACACAUGCAAGUCGAGCGGAUGAAGGGAGCUUGCUCCUGGAUUCAGCGGCGGACGGGUGAGUAAUGCCUAGGAAUCUGCCUGGUAGUGGGGGAUAACGUCCGGAAACGGGCGCUAAUACCGCAUACGUCCUGAGGGAGAAAGUGGGGGAUCUUCGGACCUCACGCUAUCAGAUGAUCCUAGGUCGGAUUAGCUAGUUGGUGGGGUAAAGGCCUACCAAGGCGACGAUCCGUAACUGGUCUGAGAGGAUGAUCAGUCACACUGGAACUGAGACACGGUACAGACUCCUACGGGAGGCAGCAGUGGGGAAUAUUGGACAAUGGGCGAAAGCCUGAUCCAGCCAUGCCGCGUGUGUGAAGAAGGUCUUCGGAUUGUAAAGCACUUUAAGUUGGGAGGAAGGGCAGUAAGUUAAUACCUUGCUGUUUUGACGUUACAAACAGAAUAAGCACCGGAUAACUUCGU
rnacentral:rRNA from 1 species